AGCAUGGCCGUCCUGGUGCUGCUCCUCUGCCUGCUGACCUUUCCAAGCUGUGCCCUGACCCAGGUGCAGCUGAAGGAGUCAGGACCUGACCUGGUGCAGCCCUCACAGACGCUGUCUCUCACCUGCACUGUCUCUGGCUUCUCAUUAACCAGCUAUGGUGUACACUGGGUCCGACAACCUCCAGGAAAGGGUCUGGAGUGGAUGGGAGAAAUAUGGAGUGGUGGGAGCAUAUAUUAUAAUUCAGCUCUCAAAUCCCGGCUCAGCAUCAGCAGAGACACCUCCAAGAGUCAGGUGUUCUUAAAACUGAACAGUCUGACGACUGAGGACACAGCCACUUACUACUGUGCUAGAAACACAGUGAGUGAACUCCACAUUUUAAGACAGAUAAUUGUCCCUGGGGAUACCUAUAAAUCUACUCGUCCUCGAGUAGAUGACAAGUAG